AUACGGGGGGAGCAAGCGUUGUUGGGAAUUAUUGGGCGUAAAGCGCGCGUAGGCGGGUUUGCAAGUUGGGGGUGAAAUCCCGGGGCUUAACCCCGGAACUGCCCUCAAAACUGCAGAUCUAGAAUCCUGGAGAGGUGAGUGGAAUUCCUAGUGUAGAGGUGAAAUUCGUAGAUAUUAGGAAGAACACCAGUGGCGAAGGCGGCUCACUGGCUCGGUACUGACGCUGAGGUGCGAAAGCAUGGGGAGCAAACAGGAUUAGAAACCCCUGUAGUCC
rnacentral:rRNA from 1 species